rnacentral:rRNA from 1 species
CAGUCGCCGCGGUAAUACGGAGGGGGCUAGCGUUGUUCGGAAUUACUGGGCGUAAAGCGCACGUAGGCGGCUUGGUAAGUUAGAGGUGAAAGCCCGGAGCUCAACUCCGGAAUUGCCUUUAAGACUGCCGAGCUAGCAGGUGAGAGAGGUAAGUGGAAUUCCGAGUGUAGAGGUGAAAUUCGUAGAUAUUCGGAAGAACACCAGUGGCGAAGGCGGCUUACUGGCUCAUACUGGACGCUGAGGUGCGAAAGCGUGGGGAGCAAACAGGAUUAGAUACCCCGGUAGUCCCUGUCUCUUAUAC